rnacentral:miRNA from 1 species
GCCUGGUUUCCUCACUCACCCAUCGCGGCUCCGCUCGCUCACUUGGCGGCGGCGGCGGCGGCGGCGGCGGCGGCAGCGACGGCAGC